GGUUCCCCUCGACACAGAUGAAGGCCCCACCCACUGAUCCCGCCUUGAACAAAUAUCCACCCACUCACACGCUGUGUCAGUUCACCAGCACCUCCACGGCCCUUCCCCCACCUCAGCCCGCUUCCUUCUCAGUAUUCUGGCGGCAGCGAUGAGCGCUGCCAGCGCCUAUCGAUCAGACAUUUAGCUGAAUGUUCUCAUCGAACAGCCGGCUGCCGCGGACGAGACGCACGUGGGGAGACUGGGAAACAGCCUCACACAUGCACAGAAGAAGAGCCUAAGGCUGAAUGACGGAACGGUCUCACUGACAACUGAUACACACUUAAUUAACAAAUAAUUAUAUAGUAAUUAAAUAACCAUUCAAUUUUGCCUGCUUGGGCAACCAAAUUUAGACACAGGUGAUCAGAGAGUUGAAUGUGUCAUUCCAAAUCAAUAGGCGUUGGCUUAACAGGUUGCAUGCGUUUUACAACCAUCUCAUCUUCACUUCCUUGGAAUGACUCUCAAGCAGCACCUCCAGGAGCUCAGGCUGCUCCAGACGUCCCACAGCCACGGCUUUGGUCGCUACAAAGCUCUGGUAUCUUCAUGGGAGUAAAUCUGGUGUUUGGUGCCCAGGAGCAAAAGUGCAGUCAGUGAGCUGAAGCCUUUAAACGUCUGCUGUGGGCAACAUGUUUAACAAUAGGCCUUCUAUAAGCAGCAGAGGUAGGAAAUGUCCACAAUACUACCUUUGCUUUUACUGUUUAAACUGAGCGUGCAGUACAGAUUUUACAUGUAAUUAGGAAAAUGAUGACGUAGAUAAGGGCCUUAGCAGCAACAACGUGCCCCUCCCUGAUUUGUCAAACCGCAAUCACAGACCUCUUUUCCAGGUCUACCAGUGAUUUGUUUAAACCUUACUGCCAACUAGGGCUGUCACCUUUUGUUGUGCAAUUAUUGCACCAAAAUUAAUUGUGAUAAACAAUAUUAUUGUCAUUUUCAGACCAUUUUAUGCCAUUGAUUACAUAAUGACAAAAUGACAAUAUAAUUGCAUAAUAAUGGAAGUAUGCUCUUUCAAAGAACAAAAAACGUGUUAUUCUUCAGAAUAUUUAGACAUUAGAAUGGGAAUGUGAAAUUAUAUUUUCUGAAUAAAUAAAACAAAUAAACAAUUAGGUACAAAGGACACGGAGCUUGGUGCGAUGCGGUAGGGUUCGAGAAAAUGUGUUCACCGGAAAGGUGCACCACACUAGCCAGGAAGGUGGCUAGGGGGCAACAAACGGGCAAUACAGGGCAACGUGCUCCGUGGCAGGGCCGCUGGUAGCCACGGGGCAUCUCGGUCCCGCUACCGAGGAGGAGGUCCAGGGACCUUGUCCUGCGCGCGACCCUGUUAUGGGUCAGCUGCCGUUUUUCCCCAUCCGGGGUGUUUGUAUCUUUUCCCCUGUGUGUGUGUCUGUCUGUGCUUCUUGUCCCCACCUACAAGAGGCGUGGCCAGCCAUCCUGCUCCGUCCCCACAGCUGAUCCUCAUUUCACAAUCCACCCCUGCAGUAUUUAGACCCGGGCUGUCUGUUUCUCCAGCGCCAGAGCGUUACACACCCACACGUGAUCCCGCUGUCCCUGUUCUGUCCUGCCGUCUGCCUCCGUCCAUCCGGCGUCCUCACCUAGCUGUCUCCUUCCCUAGAAAUCUGUACUCAUUAAAUCGCUUCUACAGAUUAUCACUCCUGGUUGAAUCGCUGUGUGCUGGGUUGAACAUCCGCCUCCUUAACAGAACGAUCUGGCCAUGGACCCUACAGAGAUUCCCCAGGCUGUUCAGGCGGAUGGCACACAACGAGCAAUCAACUCUCAAGGAAUUUUGCUUGGCCAACACGACCAGUUGAUUCGCACCCUUCUGGAGAACAAUCAGCAGUUAAUCAACCAGACAUGGCAACCAGUCCGUUCCACUGCGAGCCUCCCAUCAACUCACCUGAACCUUUUUCUGGGGAGCUGGAUAAAUGCCGUGGAUUUCUCCUACAAUGCGGGUUGAUCUUCCAGCAACGGCCGCAGUCCUUCAUCACUGAGUCAUCUAAACCAGUGUUUUUCAACCUUUUUUGUGUCAAGGCACACUUAAGACACAGAAAAAAUCUCACAGCACACCAACAAACGGAAAUGAUAUGAAAAUCAAUCCCAAACAUAGUUUCAGCAUGAGCAUAAUAUACUCUAAGAAAUCAGGGAACCGCGUGUUCUAUUUGUUGUGUUUUCUUAAACUUAACAUCAUCCUAAUUGCCGGUUCGCCUCUGCCUGCUCCUUCUGGAUGGCCGCCAGCUCCCCGACCAUCUGGCCGAGCGCCACAAGCCGCUGGGUCGGCAUCCCCUGCCGGUGUCCGUCAGCCGUCAUUUCCUCCCCCUAGCCAAGUUGGGUGCCACUGUAACAGGUUGGUCCUCUGGGGGGGUCUUGGAAUGACGAGCACGAGGCAGUCGGGAGUGUCACGACUCACUCUAUACAGUCUGUCCCCAAUCAAUGAAAAGUGCGGAAAUGACUGGGCUGCGUCAGGGCGCACCAGGUGACCAUCAAUACAUAUCACUUGGUCGUAGGCUGAGCGUAGGGUAUCGUCACGAGACUGUUCGAGUGGAAAAUCUUCCAUGGAGCGAAACUCUGCGCCUCCCGUAGAGACUCCGCCGGCUCCCCCUCCCCGUCUGCAGCGUCGGACGACCCCGCGUCACCGCUGAGCACAGCACACAUCUCGCAUAACCCUGUCAGUCGUGAACGCAGCCCCGUAGCCCCGCCCAUUAACUUAUCAAACCCCGGCCAAUCUGUACCUAAAAUGACGGGGUGCGUCAGGUGGGAGCUAACCGCGACCUUCAUUCUAUGCUUUUUCCCCGCAUAUCUAAUUUGCACCGAUACCACAGGAUACUCCCCAUGCACACACCGUAUUCUCACCCUGUCUGCCUCCACCAAUGCCCCCGGACGAACCAGGCUC
ensembl:lncRNA